AUUUCGCGUAAAUAAACAUUUUUGACAUCCCUACCUAAUGGUCAGUGUUAAGAAGCGGACACCAUUUCAUACAUAAAACCAAAAUUUCGUAGCUUAAACGACGCAUAGCAACUGCUCGAAGGAUCACUCUAAUCAACCCAUUUAAUUACUGAAUAUAUAGCCCUUUUUAAUUAAAUCAAUGAUUAUCCAACAAAAGCUCAACUUCAAAACAAGAAUUACCUGAUACUAAUUAUUUUCAUUUUCACGACAUCUAUUUAAGUCAACAGUCAUGCAAGGCUAGAAACUUUGUUUUUCUUAUUUAUCAAAAGGGCCUCCAGCAAAGAGUCGAAAGGGACUUUUAAGUUUCUUCGAAUAUUACUCAUACGACCUGUAUUACAAACUUUCUUUUACCCCUCUACGUCGCACUCCCCCCACUCUCACUCGCACUCGCAUUCUCCCUCCCCCUCGCCACCUGCUGCCCUCUCACCCGCCCCCG